GGAGGAAACCAUUGAGCAGUUAGCAAGCCAAGCAGCACAACAACCUGGAGAGAGCUGAAGAGAGAUGCUUAGCACAUACAUCAUUAUUUGACUGUCCACCACUUUCUGAACAGCGGUGUGUUGGUGUCUCAGGAGGACAGGGACCUGGAAACAAGCAGAUAGGGAGCAGGAGCUACAGGGGCCACGGUGUCUAUCUGCUCCUCAGUUCCCCUGUGAGGCUGUCUUUGUGUCAGGGAUCGAGAGGUGGACACACACACAGGCAAGGACUGUCUAACAGCAGGACUGCACCACUUUGCAGGGCACUGGAGGGACACUGGGCGGAAGGUUAGCAUCUGGCUGGCAGAGGGAGAGGGAAGAGAGUGGAUAAUGUGGUGGGCAGGCGACUGCAUUGCCGAGAUAACAGAUUAGGGAGAGCAGCAGGUCAGGGCACAUCAUCCUGACAAAGCCUGCACUUCCACCAACACUACACAGCAGAAUUCAAUUAAACCCUACAGCUACUGGCAGGCAGUGGCCCAGCCUCACAUACACUCACACACAAAUAUACAAAGACUCUCCACUGCUGGACAGCUGCUGAGCCCCCCUUCCCUCUUGUCCUGUUUGAUGUUCAGUGCCACAUGGGAUUUUUUCUUCUGAUUGAUUUGUCUUUUUUCAAUCCAGUCACUCAUAGCCUCAGUUCCUUUCAGGGCAUUCAUUGGUAAGCCCUUUUAAGGUCCUCGUAUCUACUUUUCUUAAGACUCUGUGGCAAUCCUCUUUGUCAUUACGGCCAGAAUGUUUUGAUUACUUUAGGAGCUUUUACAUUAUUGCUUUUUCUCUGACUGAAGAGCACUGGAAUUCUGAUGGUCGCGCAGACUUUUUGAGGCCGCACUGCGAUGAAUAUUUGUGCCCAUAUUCUCCUGUCAAUCAGACUUGACAUGUCCAGAGAGCACCUCCCCCAGACAGGCAGACAGAACGUGGAUGCAGAGCAUCUGGAGGGCUGGUAGAUGCUCAGUCUGCCACACAGAGACUCACAGCCUCAAUGACAACUAGACUACAGGACACCUGGCCCUACAUUCUAGUGGAGGAGAACACAAAGUCCUGAGUAGCUCUGCUCUUUCUGCAAGUCUCAGAAACUCCAAAGUGGAUCUUCUGACAGAAAAAAAUCAAGCUUGCGCGAGACGGGCAGAGAAGUGAGAAGAGGGA
ensembl:lncRNA